rnacentral:lncRNA from 1 species
GUCAUGAACUACUGUAAUGGACAAGUGGAGAAAAUGAUAGAUUCAGACAUCCCUAAUUCCAUAUAAAAAUGGGUAAAAGUAGGGGAGAUUCAAAGAUAUGCUCAUUCUCAGAAAAAUAAACGUUAGCCUUUUCUCCCUAUCAUUCCUACUGCUUUAUAAUCCCAGAUUAUUAUAUGUCUCACAUCAGACCAACAGCUUCUAACUUGAAAUGUGUCAAGCAAGACAAGUCCCUCGCAACAAUAUAAACAGAUACUGCCCAUAUUGGUGUUGAGUUGUUUGUUGCAGAAGCCAUUAGAAGAGCUAUAUGAACCUCAUCAGACUAAUGGGAACGCCUGUGAAGAAGCAAUGUUACAGGAAGGACCAAAGGGAAAAAGCAAGCAAAAUAAAGGUGUUUGUGCGGAGCUCCACUGUGCCUUAGGAAUGAGAUGUCUACUAGCACUUGAAAUUUCUUGGCUUUCAUCUGAAAAUUUCUCCAGUCUUCAGGAAUGGUUGCUGUAGCUACACUUACUGUCUUGUUCUUGUCUUCCACAAUGGACUCGCAGCUAAGAGUUUGCAUUGAGUCCUAGAAGAGACUGGAUUUGGACAUUUUAGCAAUGCAGGAAUUGUUAAGACUUUGGUGACUCUUCCAAAUGGACUAAGGGCAUUUUGCAUAAUGAGAUGGAUAUGAAUCAUUUGGGGCCAGAGAUUGAAUGCCUCAGUGACUCUGUCUCUACUAUUACCACUUUUGUUUAAAACACCACCACCAUCUCUGGCCUGGAUUAUCAAAGUUACCAGCAACUCCAGCUCCUCUGCAGUGGAUUAAGCCCCCAGCUGCCAAUCUUACUUCCUUAUUAGGUAGUAAAAUUAUGUUUAUUUCCCUACUUAAAAUCCUUCUUUGGCUUCUCACUGAAAUUAGAAUACAAUCUAAAUACUCUCCCCUUGGACUACAUGAUACCAUAUGGCCUAGUCCCUACCUUCUGCAUUCCCAUCUAUCUUCUCCUAGAUGGUUCACUCUCUGCACCCUCAAUUCCUCUACUUCCAGC